UAAUAAAAUGGAGUCAGAUUUGAGCUUAACCUAAACUGAAUAACUUUAUGCGCUGAAAGACAGAACACGCAGGAAACCUUCAUCCAGCACCGGAUACCUUCCUUGGGCCGAGUGCCUGGACCUUACAAAUUGGUGACCCCGCCGACGUGAUCUCCUUACAAAGUGGUGACUGGUAACGGGAUCUGCUAAAAAGGCGAGUGACGUCUUUCAGUGCAAUAUGGAUUUGUACCGAACAAGAGGUUUGACCAUCUCCUUCUCUUUCUCCAGCUGCUGUGGUUGACCACUGCAAUUCUUUGGAGACCAGAUACCAGGAAAGUGUCUGGUCCCAUCUGCACCAAGACAGGACAAAAGAAUUGUUACAUAACCUGAAAUGCGGGAGAUGAAUGUGAAGACACUUGAAGGGGCCAUUCACACCUCACAGUAGAACAUCACCACGCAAAUAUCUACAUGGCCUCCCGGAUUAGAACCGGAACUAAAUUUUUGCAACACAGAUUGCUAUAGACUAGACUCCAUUCAUCUCCAAGACAUGACCAUAGAACACACACCUCAUCCAUUGCAUCACCUCAUUUAGACUAUCCAGUCUGUACACUACACACAGAAGACGAUGAUGGCUUAGAUUACAAAUGAGGUACUCCUCUAAAGAUCUAUUGUCCAUCUUCACACUGACAGAACCACAUAGCCUCACACACACAGGACAAUAUAAUUUAUCCCAUGCUAAAAUAGACACACAACAUAUAACUAUUUGCAACUGUCUGCAAACUCAUGGAACAACACUGUAACACACAUUUGCAUGAAUAGUCACAGAUUGAUGGCACAAAUUUUGAACACAGAGGCAGACAAGCCUUUACAAUUUAAAAUAUUGAAUCUUUAUGAUUGUUAUUAGAGUGGUUGAGAAGCCAGAGGGCCCCUGGUUUCCCAACACAUCACUAAUGACAAUAAGCAUUAUUAAAAUGAUUAAAUGUGAAGUGCCUGCACUUCAUUUCUGUCAGUCAAUUAUAAAAUUUACAAUUCUACCAAACAAUCAACUGUGACUUAGCCUUCAUAUCAGAUACCAUUCACACACACACACACACACACACACACACACACGUUAGGAAUUUAGGAUUUCCAUUGUAGGAAAAUGUUUUAAUCAUGUUCUAACCUUACAUCUUCUUAAGUGGCUUGCAAUAGAAGAUUCCUGAAUUAACAGUGUGAUUAUUAUAUAUAUAUAUACCUUCAUAAUUGUGAUUGAAUAUGAUUCUUAUUGUCAUUAUAUGACUUGUUUAUUGAUGCAUACCUCUAAAUUAAUGCUCAAGUUAAACUGACCUCUUGCUGCAUUUUCCUUUGAGUCAUUCAUACCAAAAUGUACAUUGGACCACUCUACCAUAUUUGACCUUGAAAGACUUUUAACAUCAGAUGUACCACUUGCACUGGCUGACAUGAAUUCAUCAGGUUUCUUUUUUGUUUUAUUUUUCUUAUGUUAACUUAUGACUUUUCUAUUUUAGUCCAUGGGUGAUGAAAUUUUAAGCUGAUCAAAAUUCAGUCAUUGGAUGGCCACUAAGAUGCUUUUCAGGUGUCUCACACAAAGCAGUGUGUAACCAGUGAGAACCCUUCACCUGUUGGAGCCUGCUCAGAAAUCUGCACAGUUGGAACUGACAAGAUUCAUCAAAAGAGGCAAGAAAGACAGAGGGAAGGUGUCACUAAAGAUGGAAAGACACGUCAAGCUAAAAAGGCCUGGACUGAUUCAAUGAACUAUGCACAUGGGUUGUUCCCAACCAGACAGAUUAAUCUCUUAAACCUGUUCAUCCACCUGCUGAAUUCAAACUACAUGCACCUGUUGAGAAUGGUGUACACAAAGGCCUUUCUCAAGGCCUCUACAACAACAAAUACUACAUCACAAGGACUACAAGAGCCUGACAAGUGACCCCUAUGAGAAUCAUCUGUAUUCGUGUCAUGUGGUCAAAGGGCGGACUGUAAGAAUUACAGAAACUUCAGACACUUUGAUCUUCUGAGAUAUACUAAGGACACACAGUGCAUUAACAUACAGACAUCUGUUCUCACAUCUCACUGAGAGAAAAUGCAGGAAACGCCUCUCUCACAUAUGCAACAGUUCCUACUCAUUCCAUUCCUUCCCUUCACAUAGCUCACUCAGAAUGGUCAAUAGUAGAACAUAAUGGUAUAUAUUAAUGCAAGUGAUAUUUACAGUCAUGUUUGGUGUCAUUUGAAUUGUCUCAGUGCAACUGAUACAAUGGUGUCUGUCUUACAAAAGUAGAUUAAAAGAUAAUUCAUUUCCUAAGAAUUAAGAGAUAUUCUGUAUAUCUGUAAUGGGAGGGAGUGCCCCUUCCUAGGGUCCUCCAUGUAAAUUACCUUCUGUUCCCAUUGAGGUGUAAACUACCCUGGUCUGGGACCUGACCUAAUGCAAAUUCCAAUUGUUAGUUUCUGUCUUCAUCUCGGGGGAUGUUUGUGUGAGGUAUUUAAACGAUUGCAGCAAAAGGAUCAGGGCCUUCUGUAGCUGGAAUGAGCCCAUAGUAUGAAGUGUGUCCACACACUUCAUACUAUGUAUUUUUCUAAGAGUCAGGUAUGCAUCUUUUACUAUUAGAUUCAUCUUUGAGAAUUUGGUGUCUAGUAUUGAUUUGAUAUCUAUGAAUUGGCUAUGUAAUUGGCAUAAUCCUUACCUGACUGAUAAUAAAUUGUUACAUUUGAUUUAC